CAGUAGCCACGGGAAUACAGAGGGUGCGAGCGUUAAUCGGAUUUACUGGGCGUAAAGCGUGCGUAGGCGGCUUCUUAAGUCGGAUGUGAAAUCCCUGAGCUUAACUUAGGAAUUGCAUUCGAUACUGGGAAGCUAGAGUAUGGGAGAGGAUGGUAGAAUUCCAGGUGUAGCGGUGAAAUGCGUAGAGAUCUGGAGGAAUACCGAUGGCGAAGGCAGCCAUCUGGCCUAAUACUGACGCUGAGGUACGAAAGCGUGGGGAGCAAACAGGAUUAGAUACCCGCGUAGUCCCUGUCUCUUAUAC
rnacentral:rRNA from 1 species